rnacentral:rRNA from 1 species
GGUUAAGCGACUAAGCGUACACGGUGGAUGCCUAGGCAAUCAGAGGCGAUGAAGGACGUGCUAAUCUGCGAUAAGCGUCGGUAAGGUGAUAUGAACCGUUACA